UACAGGGGGGGCAAGCGUUGUUCGGAAUUACUGGGCGUAAAGGGUUUGUAGGUGGCUUGCUAAGUCAGACGUGAAAUCCCUCAGCUUAACUGGGGAACUGCGUCUGAUACUGGCGAGCUUGAGUGCAGGAGAGGAACGCGGAAUUCCAGGUGUAGCGGUGAAAUGCGUAGAUAUCAGGAGGAACACCGGUGGCGAAGGCGGGUCUCUGGGCCGAUACUGACGCUGAGGAGCGAAAGCGUGGGGAGCGAACAGG
rnacentral:rRNA from 1 species